AUAUUUACCUGGCAGGGGAGAUACCAUGAUCACGAAGGUGGUUUUCCCAGGGCGAGGCUUAUCCAUUGCACUCCGGAUGUGUUGACCCCUGCGAUUUCCCCAAAUGUGGGAAACUCGACUGCACAAUUUGUGGUAGUGGGGGACUGCAUUCACACUUUGCCCUG
rnacentral:snRNA from 1 species